GGAAAGUAUGUUUUUGUCCAUGGUUAAGCAAUAGUGCCAAUAGAAAAAUAAAAUAUAUGUAAUUUCCGGCGAAAAGUCUGGCCAUCUUGACUGACUAGAGGACGUGGUAACCCAAUGAGAGAUGAGCAAAUAGAUGAAGCUUAAAUCAGUCAGAUAUAGAAAAGUAUGAACUAUUUAGAGAUGAGGAUUACAAGAUAAACCAAAACCAAGAAAGCUCUUCCAGUUCUGAAGAAUCUGAAAAUAAUAGUUUUUUAUUAAAAACCAACUCUUAUUUGCAAAAUUAAGUAUUUAAAAGUUCUAUAGAAAUAUUAUAUCAAUUUACCUACUAUCAUUCUGAUUUUAAAAGAUUUCAUCACCUCUGGGUCCGCACCAUGUGAACCUUUUAAAAGGUACUUGGGCUGCAAGCCAAUGUUUGGUAAAAAUAGCCUGGGCGUUACGAGGUUAAAGAG